rnacentral:rRNA from 1 species
UAGGAAUCUUGCACAAUGGGGGAAACCCUGAUGCAGCGAUGCCGCGUGCGGGAUGAAGGCCCUAGGGUUGUAAACCGCUUUCAGUAGGGAAGAAAGUGACGGUACCUACAGAAGAAGCCCCGGCCAACUAUGUGCCAGCAGCCGCGGCGAUACAUAGGGGGCUAGCGUUGUCCGGAUUUACUGGGCGUAAAGAGCUCGUAGGCGGUUUAAUAAGUCGACAAGUGAAAUCUCCAGGCUCAACCUGGAGCAGCAUUGCGAUACUAUUAUGACUUGAGUGUGGUAGAGGAGUGUGGAAUUCCCAGUGUAGCGGUGAAAUGCGCAGAUAUUGGGAGGAACACCUAUGGCGAAGGCAGCACUCUGGGCCAUUACUGACGCUGAGGAGCGAAAGCGUGGGGAGCGAAC